GAACCUGAUGAGCGUGCAAAUGUCGCCCCAGUCUUACGAUCCUUUCGUGCUUUCGAUCGGGUUAUCAAUGGUGAUUGACAUUUCUAUCUGAUUC